UACGAGAGGCCCAAACGUUAUUCGGAAUUACUGGGCUUAAAGAGUUCGUAGGCGGCGCAGAAAGUAGGGUGUGAAAGCCCUCGGCCCAACCGAGGAAUUGCGCUCUAAACUACUGUGCUUGAGGAAUCUAGAGGUGAGCGGAACUGAUGGUGGAGCGGUGAAAUGCGUUGAUAUCAUCAGGAACACCGGAGGCGAAGGCGGCUCACUGGGGAUUUUCUGACGCUGAGGAACGAAAGCCAGGGGAGCGAACGGG
rnacentral:rRNA from 1 species